CUUUGAGAAGGUGAUCUGAACGACACUACCAGGGCUUUGAGAAGGUGAUCUGAACACACUACCAGGGCUUUGAGAAGGUGAUCUGAACGACACUAACAGGGCUUUGAGAAGGUGAUCUGAACGACACUAACAGGGCUUUGAGAAGGUGAUCUGAACGACACUAACAGGGCUUUGAAAAGGUGAUCUGAACGACACUAACAGGGCUUUGAGAAGGUGAUCUGAACGACACUACCAGGGCUUUGAAAAGGUGAUCUGAACGACACUAACAGGGCUUUGAGAAGGUGAUCUGAACGACACUACCAGGGCUUUGAGAAGGUGAUCUGAACACACUACCAGGGCUUUGAAAAGGUGAUCUGAACGACACUACCAGGGCUUUGAGAAGGUGAUCUGAACGACACUAACAGGGCUUUGAAAAGGUGAUCUGAACGACACUACCAGGGCUUUGAGAAGGUGAUCUGAACACACUACCAGGGCUUUGAGAAGGUGAUCUGAACGACACUACCAGGGCUUUGAGAAGGUGAUCUGAACGACACUACCAGGGCUUUGAGAAGGUGAUCUGAACGACACUAACAGGGCUUUGAAAAGGUGAUCUGAACACACUACCAGGGCUUUGAGAAGGUGAUCUGAACGACACUACCAGGGCUUUGAGAAGGUGAUCUGAACGACACUACCAGGGCUUUGAGAAGGUGAUCUGAACACACUACCAGGGCUUUGAGAAGGUGAUCUGAACGACACU